rnacentral:lncRNA from 1 species
AUGGGAUGCGGAAGCUCCUCCAGCACCGCGGUCCACCCGCUCACGAACGGAACCAAGUACGAGGCGGGAAGUAAACCCUGCAUCCGUGGUGACUCGGCCGUGUCAAAGGUCACCACAGACAGCGGUGUGGUGAUGGAGAACAGAGACAUCCCAGUGUUACCUGCAGCUGUGCCCAACGAACUCCCUCCUCCGUCACAUGAGUGCAUCGAAGAAAGCGAGGCUGACACAGCUACACCAAAGGCUGCUUCUACGGGGGAGAACGCUGUUCAGGAGAGACCAAAGUCCAGCGAGAUCCUGGAGGAGCUGCUGAGUCAGGGGAUCAUCCCGAUGGGAGAGAGCAGGGAGAAAGAUGGAGGAGCUUCGUUUAGCAUCAUGCUGAAGGACACUGAAGGCGUCACACGAAGGCCUCCUGCCAGGCUGGAGUCUCUGAAGACCCAAAAGUCUGAAAGUGUGCACAGCAGAGAAGAAAUAGAUGAGAGGAUGAGGCUGGUGGAGGAGAGACGCAAGCUCCUGGAAGACGAGCGCAGGGCAUCUUUAAGGACGAAGUCUGCACGUGUUCGACGACGCGCUCCCGUCUCCCCCAUCAGCGAAGACGAGGAGUCCUCGCGCUCACCUCUCCCGCAGACACCCCGAGAGGCCACCGAAGGGGUAGAGUGGGUCAGAGAGACAGGAGCUGUCGGCAGAGAGGAGGCGGGGAGCGUGGGGGAGAAGGUUGGCAUUAAAGAGGAGGAGGUGACCCAUGUGGAGGAGCUGAAGGCAGGUGGACUCCUCACCGCCUCAGGAGAGCUGAAGAAUGAUUCCAGCUUCCAGCAUGAAGACGGAGAGGACACUUUUUAG